GAUGAACGCUAGCUACAGGCCUAACACAUGCAAGUCGAGGGGUAGCAUGAUAAAAGCUUGCUUUUAUUGAUGACGACCGGCGCACGGGUGCGUAACACGUAUCGAAUCUGCCUCACACUCGGGCAUAGCCUUCCGAAAGGAAGAUUAAUUCCCGAUAUGCCAAUGAAUCGCAUGGUUCGUUGGUGAAAGUUUUGUCGGUGUGAGAUGACGAUGCGUUCCAUUAGCUUGUUAGUGAGGUAACGGCUCACCAAGGCUUCGAUGGAUAGAGGUUCUGAGAGGAAGGUCCCCCACACUGGUACUGAGACACGGACCAGACUCCUACGGGAGGCAGCAGUGAGGAAUAUUGGUCAAUGGACGCAAGUCUGAACCAGCCAAGUCGCGUGAAGGAUGAAGGUAUUAUGUAUUGUAAACUUCUUUUAUCAGGGAAUAAUGGUCGCUACGUGUAGCGAAGAGGAAUGUACCUGAUGAAUAAGCAUCGGCUAACUCCGUG
rnacentral:rRNA from 1 species